rnacentral:misc_RNA from 1 species
GAGGUGCGCCUUUAAUAACUAUGUGGGCUACAAUACAAACAACAGGAGAGUUCCAACACUUAAACAUGAAAACGAAUUGUCCUAAUAAAGACUCCAUGAUUCUCUAAAAUCCUCUACAUUAUUUGUAAAUUACCAUACACACAGAUGUACUUAUUGAUAGCAAAUUGCCGCGUCAACAGCAGCUUCUAGACAUGGAUGUUUUAUGUUUAUAUCAUUUUCUGCUAACAUUGUAUAUUGGCAUACAUAAAUAUCCUCAACAAAUUCUCCAUUUCUCUUUGUCAUGCCAAUAGAAAUCACAAACCAACUUCAGUCCCAAUCGGAUAUUUGGAUUUGCUCGAACGAACAGAAGGUAAUAGGCCCAAAAAGCUUUUCAAGCAGCUAUGUCUACUUGAGGUAUAAAAGGAAAAUAAUAAUAAUAAUAAACCACCAUGACUAACUGUACUGAGCCUGAGUAGCCAAGCUUGCAAAAAUUCCAAGUCCUAAACUACCCAUUGAGCUUAUGAUAAUAAUAAUCAUUUGACAACUUCAUUUAAAAGUUCAAUGCAAAAUUUCUAUAACAUAUAUAGAAGGACAAAGAUCAGGGAUAAAAUCCUAAAAUACCCUGUAGUCAACAUCCAAAAUCUAACUCCCCUUCCUCAAUCAUGAGCUAGCUUACACACAUAUAGUAGUAUAAUAUUGUAACAACCUGGAAAAAAAAUAGAAAAAAAAAAAGAGA